GACGAACGCUGGCGGCGUGCCUAAUACAUGCAAGUAGAACGCACAGUUUAUACCGUAGCUUGCUACACCAUAGACUGUGAGUUGCGAACGGGUGAGUAACGCGUAGGUAACCUGCCUGGUAGCGGGGGAUAACUAUUGGAAACGAUAGCUAAUACCGCAUAAUAUUAAUUAUUGCAUGAUAAUUAAUUGAAAGGUGCAAUUGCACCACUACCAGAUGGACCUGCGUUGUAUUAGCUAGUAGGUGAGGUAACGGCUCACCUAGGCGACGAUACAUAGCCGACCUGAGAGGGUGAUCGGCCACACUGGGACUGAGACACGGCCCAGACUCCUACGGGAGGCAACAGUAGGGAAUCUUCGGCAAUGGACGAAAGUCUGACCGAGCAACGCCGCGUGAGUGAAGAAGGUUUUCGGAUCGUAAAGCUCUGUUGUAAGAGAAGAACGGGUGUGAGAGUGGAAAGUUCACACUGUGACGGUAUCUUACCAGAAAGGGACGGCUAACUACGUG
rnacentral:rRNA from 1 species